rnacentral:rRNA from 1 species
GUGUCAGCAGCCGCGGUAAUACGUAGGGUGCGAGCGUUAAUCGGAAUUACUGGGCGUAAAGGGUGCGCAGGCGGCGUCGCAAGUCAGGCGUGAAAUCCCCGGGCUUAACCUGGGAACUGCACUUGAAACUACGAUGCUGGAGUAUGGCAGAGGGAGGUGGAAUUCCACGUGUAGCGGUGAAAUGCGUAGAGAUGUGGAGGAACACCGAUGGCGAAGGCAGCCUCCUGGGCCAAUACUGACGCUCAUGCACGAAAGCGUGGGGAGCAAACAGGAUUAGAUACCCUGGUAGUCC